UUACAACACACAUACAACACACAUAAGGCAAUGCAGAUCACGCUUUAGGAAGCACACUAGGCAAUGCUCCAAACUGCACCUUCACACUGAUCAGAAGUCGCAUUAAAUGAGACACUAAGUGGUCUCACACACUGGUCUCAAUCUUUGGAAGCUUAUUUCUGCAACAGAAUUUCUAAAAAGUUUAAGAGGUUACCUGCAAAUUAAUUUCACAAGUUUUUUUUUUU